GGAACGGCGAUUUUAAGGCCUACAUUUUUUAUGAAAGAAUUAAUGCUUUUAGAAUUCAUGUGAAGGAGUUAUAAGGAGUUGAAAGUGGCGCUUCCAAAUCAAAGGCAGUAAGUAAGCGGUUUUGUUUGUAGUAAUAGUUGGAGCCAUAACUUGAGUAUUUGAACAAAUUUUUAGGUCAAAUUUUUUGAAGAAUGUAAAUUUUUGUGUUAAAAAGCUAUUAAUAUAAAUUUCGUAGCAUUUGAGCUUAUAUUUUGUGAGAUAUGAAGAAAAUUGCACGUUAGUAUAUAAAAACAAGGGUUUGAAGUGACUGUUAGGAUUUUCAAGAUAUUUCAAGAUCCACAACGAAUUUGCAGUUGAAAAUUGUUGUAAAACUUAAUAAGAAUACAUCAAUAUCUUAGGUAAAAUUUGAGUUUGUUUGGACGGUCGGAUUAUGAGAUAUGAAGUGUUAAAGUUUGGAAAAAUCUCCACAUAAGAAUAUACAAGGUUUUAGAGGAUUUUAUCAUAUUUUGGAUGUUGUUGGUUACUUGAGGCUUGUGUAUU
rnacentral:lncRNA from 1 species